rnacentral:rRNA from 1 species
GAUGAACGCUGGCGGCGUGCCUAAUACAUGCAAGUCGAGCGCUUCUUUCCUCCCGAGUGCUUGCACUCAAUUGGAAAGAGGAGUGGCGGACGGGUGAGUAACACGUGGGUAACCUACCCAUCAGAGGGGGAUAACACUUGGAAACAGGUGCUAAUACCGCAUAACAGUUUAUGCCGCAUGGCAUAAGAGUGAAAGGCGCUUUCGGGUGUCGCUGAUGGAUGGACCCGCGGUGCAUUAGCUAGUUGGUGAGGUAACGGCUCACCAAGGCCACGAUGCAUAGCCGACCUGAGAGGGUGAUCGGCCACACUGGGACUGAGACACGGCCCAGACUCCUACGGGAGGCAGCAGUAGGGAAUCUUCGGCAAUGGACGAAAGUCUGACCGAGCAACGCCGCGUGAGUGAAGAAGGUUUUCGGAUCGUAAAACUCUGUUGUUAGAGAAGAACAAGGACGUUAGUAACUGAACGUCCCCUGACGGUAUCUAACCAGAAAGCCACGGCUAACUACGUG